AGUAACUAUGUAAAUUCGAUUAAUAGUCCGAUAAUUAUAGGAUACGCUCCCGUAUAAUUUUAAAAUCUAAAUUUCAUUUGAAAAUCAGGCAGCACCUUCUCUAAUUAUCAGACUACCAGUCGAUAUCAUAUCGACACAACAAAUCCCAACAAAACCUGUAAUCAAUCCGAAUAGCCUAAAUUAUAAUUACCAAUCAAACCUGUAAUUAACUACUAAUCACGUAACUUACAAAUACUAAACAAACUAAGCAGAAUACUUAACCAAAUAUUAAAACACUUGAUAAUGGAAAACAAUUGUAUUCGGCAAAAUUGAAACCAACUACAUGGUUAAACCUUUAUUCACAUAUCAUCACCCAUGGCCAAAUACACGUAAAACACACGCACCCACUACACACGCACACACCAGCACAUACCAGUAUACUCCCUGGACCAUUUAAACUACUACCGCAACCUCACACACCACCGUUACACAUACACACCUCUGGGGACACACAAAUACACACACAUAUACUGAUUAUACACACACCAAUCACACAAAUAUACACAUAUACACAGCAGCCCCAAAGCAGUGAGAAAACGAACUGAAAAAGGGG
rnacentral:lncRNA from 1 species